rnacentral:rRNA from 1 species
GCUUGUCUCAAAGAUUAAGCCAUGCAUGUCUAAGUAUAAAUCUUUUACUUUGAAACUGCGAACGGCUCAUUAUAUCAGUUAUAGUUUAUUUGAUAGUCCCUUACUACUUGGAUAACCGUAGUAAUUCUAGAGCUAAUACAUGCGUCAAUACCCUUCUGGGGUAGUAUUUAUUAGAUUGAAACCAACCGCUUCGGCGUGAUGUGGUGAUUCAUAAUAAAUUUGCGAAUCGCAUGGCUUUACGCCGGCGAUAGACCAUUCAAGUUUCUGACCUAUCAGCUAUCGUCGGUAGGGUAUUGGCCUACCGUGGCAAUGACGGGUAACGGAGAAUUAGGGUUCGAUUCCGGAGAGGGAGCCUGAGAAACGGCUACCACAUCUAAGGAAGGCAGCAGG